GGACUUGUAGCUCAGUGGUAGAGCAUUGUACUUAUGUGGAAACCGUUUAUGCAAGGGUCUCCGGUUCAAUCCCGGGCUGGUCCA
rfam:Exidia glandulosa HHB12029 unplaced genomic scaffold EXIGLscaffold_222, whole genome shotgun sequence.